rnacentral:rRNA from 1 species
CAGCCGCCGCGGGAAUACGUAGGGUGCAAGCGUUAUCCGGAAUUAUUGGGCGUAAAGAGCUCGUAGGCGGUUUGUCGCGUCUGCUGUGAAAACUGGAGGCUCAACCUCCAGCCUGCAGUGGGUACGGGCAGACUAGAGUGCGGUAGGGGAGAUUGGAAUUCCUGGUGUAGCGGUGGAAUGCGCAGAUAUCAGGAGGAACACCGAUGGCGAAGGCAGAUCUCUGGGCCGUAACUGACGCUGAGGAGCGAAAGCAUGGGGAGCGAACAGGAUUAGAUACCCCCGUAGUCCCUGUCUCUUAUAC